AUUGAACGCUGGCGGCAGGCCUAACACAUGCAAGUCGAACGGUAACAGGAAGAAGCUUGCUUCUUUGCUGACGAGUGGCGGACGGGUGAGUAAUGUCUGGGAAACUGCCUGAUGGAGGGGGAUAACUACUGGAAACGGUAGCUAAUACCGCAUAACGUCGCAAGACCAAAGAGGGGGACCUUCGGGCCUCUUGCCAUCGGAUGUGCCCAGAUGGGAUUAGCUAGUAGGUGGGGUAACGGCUCACCUAGGCGACGAUCCCUAGCUGGUCUGAGAGGAUGACCGGCCAACUGGGAAUGGGACACGGGGCCGAACCCCACGGGGGGGAAGAGGGGGGGAAUUUGGACAAAGGGGGCAAAGCCUGAGGCAGCCAGGCGGGGGGAAGGAAAAGGGCUUUCGGGUUGUAAAGUAUUUUAAGCGGGGGGGAAGGGAGAAAAUUUAAUACCUUUGCUCAUGGACGUUCCCCGAAGAAGAAGCACCGGCUAACUCCGG
rnacentral:rRNA from 1 species